CUGGAGGGAAAUCUAUCAAAAAGUAACCCGUUUUCUCAUUCCGGGUGACGGGUUUCACCGAUUUGCUCGUCAGAUGUGUGUGGGCAGAGUUUCCCGCGCAUCUUAAACCGAAGCGGCUGACCCUGCAGCGUGUGUCCUUCCGGGUCGCCGGGGAGGUGCUGGGCCCUCAGCGCUGGGGACCCAAUGAGGCCGGGCAGGCCGAGUCCUGGGGGGCCUGGGGUGUGGGCUUGGAACUCGUCCGGCAGGGACCCGGUCCCCUGGGGUCACUCGGGGUUUGGGGCGGUGGGGUGAACGCGGGUGGACCUGGGGGCCCCGGCGGAGGGUGCGCAUCAGGGCUGUGACCGGCGCCCGUCCCCGUGCCCGAAGCUCCUCCUGCUGACUUGCCUUGGGGCUUUGGCAGCUUCUGUCCCCGCAGCGGUGGCCUCUGAGCUGACCCAAAGCACCGCACCGGGCCGCUCCGGGGUCCUCAUCGACUCGGGACCUGGGAGCCCCUCCUGCUGUGCUGUCCGGCGCGCUGCUCCGAGCUCCGAGCCCGGGGUGGCGAGGAGAUGGGGAUGAGCCAGACCCCGGCCCUAGCCCGGGAGGGACAACUGCCCCGCUGCUGGGGGUGACUGAAGAAGGAGCCAGGAGAGAACCCGGGGCAGAGAUGCUUCCUGGAAUCUAACGAUCUGCUUUACUAAGAAAAGUGCUUCUGAUGGAGAGGGGAACCCUUGGCAGAACAAAGACAAGAGACAGACGCCUCUCGAUGGCCCUUGUUCUCAGCACUGCGGACGGCUUCUCCCUGCUCCCCAACCCCGAACCAAGAACGGCUUCUUGGCUAAACGGCUCUAGGUGGAUUUUAAAAAUGAAACACCUAUAAAAUUCUAUUGGCGAGCGCCCAGUCAAUUGGCGAUCCCACCCUUCCGGAGUAUUUCCUUCUGUCUGGCUGGAAUGGCCUCGCCACUGACGGGUUUCAGAAACACCAUUCCUGCACUUCUGAGUAUGUGACGCGGCUCUGCACCGCUACUGCCCGAACCCCGUGAGGCUUCCGCGCUGGAUUCUGCCUGCUUCCCGCGUCCACCUGGAGUCUAGGGCCCCAGGCUGGGUGCUCUGCGGGAACCAGGCUGCCUUGGUGGUGGACAUGUCGGGCUGGUUGCUGUGUUUCCGGGCGAGGCCUGCGAGGGGCGGGUAGUGACCUGGAGCCUGAGGUCACCUGCUUGUGACUUCCGGUGUAGUGUCUAGCUGGGGCGAUGGCUGUCAGCAGUGAUUCAAUUGUCAUUUGCAUUUCUAAAAAAUGACCUAAACUCCAAACCUUAGUACAGCUGAGAACUGUUUAGAGUGAGAAUAAAGCUAUGUGUAAAAUCCAGCCUUAAACAGGCCAAGCGGUCUUGAGCUACACAGUGCACUGCAGAUUGGAUCUGAGCAGAAAGCUAGUGGCAUGUAAGUGUCCACUCAGCACAAGAAAUGUGCAUGCCGAGGCCAGGAGGAAGUGACGGUGGAAGUGCCCCAGGUGGCCGUGGGCAGCCCCGACAUGCAGCAGAGGCCCGACUGUCCUCCAGGAGCGGUUCUGGGUGGCUUCACGACAGCCAGGUGGCCUGGGGACCUGCAAGCAGUCCCUGCUGUGCCGAGUGACAGAUGCUCAGGUGACGCCCAGGCCUGGGCACAGCAGCUGCUCAAUGCAGGUGGCUCCUGCUGCACAGGGGCGGGGCGUCCACAGAGGGCCAUCAGCGAGGCCAGAGUCCCCAGGGCAUCCUGGGAAAGUCGGCACUGGAAGAAGAUUCCAGGCUGUCACUCUCCUGUCAGCCCCUGUCUCAUGGGGAGCAGCCAGCUUCCAGUGGCUCUGUACAAUAGGGCAGGUGGGCUUGAAGCCAGAUACCCUGCUCCUGAGCUUAGGGCUAGGGGCAUGUGGUGAGGACACUGGAAGCUGGGAAGUUUUCUGCCUCAUGCCGAGCAGCCAUGGCCCCGACAGGGUGUGACAGGACACCUGGGGACUCAGUAGAGGCCGCUCCAAGGACAGAGGGCAUAAGAGGCCUGGCUCUUCUGCAGGUUCUUUCCUCUCGCUUGUGACCCGCACACGGCCUCCUUGCUGGUGUCGGGACUGCAGCUGGGCACCCGGUGGGCUGGGGUCUGGGCUGGACCUGGCCUGGACUCCUGACGAGGAGUCACGGCUCUGGGGGGACAGGGAGGUCAGGGAGACCCUCAGCCAGCCCGGCGGGGCUCUGUCCUCACCCCUGGCCACAGCGGGCUGCUGUGUCUGUCAUACACUCUGCACAGCUGCGGACGUACCAGGGGCUGGAGUGCAGGGGGCCGGCCUCGCCGGGGACAGGGACCAUUAAGCCAGAGCUCCUUGUGGGGCGGGGAGCAGGAAAGGAGCCCAGGGGAGGGAAGGCCGUCUGCUUCCUGUCAGGGAAGGAAGUGGGCACACGGGGUGGGGCACUGGCAGGGGGAGUGGGCACAAGGAUAAAUUAUGAUCUGUUUCCUCUGCUAUUUUGGUUCCUAAGUCACCAAAGACUUGCUCAGAAGACCCAGUUUUUCAGAGUGGCUCCUGCCUGGCACUGCUCCCUGGUACACAGGUGAACCUCGAGCUCCCCCCCGCCCCAGGAGGCCCUGGCUCGGCAGGCUUGGGUCCCGCUGAGCUCCGGGAGGAGCAAGCGCUUCACCUAAGGACAGUCACCUCAGCAAAGGGCCAUGAGGAGUGUGGCUCAGCGGCUCCUCCGAACCGAUGAGCUCUGGUGCAGCCCCGAACUUAAGGGACAGCGUGUGACAGGAGGAGGAGGCUGGCAGGGUGGUGGGAGGCCCGCCCGGCCCUGCACCCUGGUCCUGUGGGCCCGUCCUGGGGACAUGCAGGGUGUGCCCAGGGCACCUGGCUGGGGUCACCAGGGAGCCUGCUGGGGCGAGGCUGGCAUGGGAACUUGUCUGCAGGAGAGGUGGGAGCUCCGGAGGGCGCCUCGGGUGUGAGCACAGCUGGUCUCCCUCAGGGCAAUGUCACGGAGCACUCAGGAGCCGGGGGGCUGAGCGGGACAUUCGGGGCUGCAGGGCUGGGGCAGGAGGCCUCGCCUUGCUUCUUUCUCUGGUGCUUCGUGUGACGGGGAGGAAGAGUAGUGUUUCCUGUGGUGAGGUGACACUGGCAGCCCAGGUGGCCGGCGCUAGGGGAAGUCACUGCCGUCGUAGAUCACAGGCCGGUCAACCGUCAAGUGGUAAAACACUUUCUUGGAGAUGAACCUGAGGAGACAGACACGGAAAGGGGGGCGUCGCCUGCACCCGACAGCCAAGAGCGGCUGGCCCAGGCUGCCUCUCGGGCCGUGUCCUGCCCUCUCCGCGCCCCCUCCGGUUCUCGCUUCUCCUUCCUCCAUCUGCCCCACCCUCUGGGGUGUGUCCAGGGCCCCUCUCUGGGUGAGCUGUGGGCGCG
ensembl:lncRNA